ensembl:snoRNA
UUGCUAAAGUUUCCCAAAAAUGCAAGAAAAACAGUGUCCUGGCACUUUCUGUCUGUCUGAUGGUGGCAGCCCAGACUGAAUAGGGGAAUAUAGGG